rnacentral:rRNA from 1 species
GACGAACGCUGGCGGCGUGCUUAACACAUGCAAGUCGAACGGAAAGGCCCUGCUUUUGUGGGGUGCUCGAUUGGCGAACGGGUGAGUAACACGUGAGUAACCUGCCCUUGACUUUGUGAUAACUUCAGGGAACUGGGGCUAAUAUCGGAUAGGAUCUCCUGCUGCAUGGGGGGGGUAGGAGAGUUUCGGCGGUUGUGGAUGUACUCGCUGCUUAUCCGCUUGUUUGUGUGGUAGGGGCUUACCAAGGUUUUGACGGGUCGGCGGCCUGAGAGGGUGACCGGCCACAUUGGGACUGCGAUACGGCCCAGACUGCUACGGGAGGCAGCAGUGGGGAAUAUUGCACAAUGGGCGGACGCCUGAUGCAGAAACGCCGCGUGCGGGAUGACGGCUUUCGGGUUGUAAACAGAUUUCGCAUGUGCCGAAGCGUGCGUGACGGUAAUGGGUAAAGAAGCACCGGCUAACUACGUG